GGGUCCUUCCACACGCCUACACCUCAAAUCACCCCGCAAGCGCUACACGGAACAAUUCCCCGCAAACCAGAAACGGCCCACCCCGCACCGCUCAAAUCCAACACCAUUUGCAGCCGAAACACAAGCACCUCACCACGACAGGACAACCGAGCAAGCAGAAAUCGGAACCCAGAAACGAAACAGAUCGCGAUUCGAAGAAACACGGAAAGGGAAGAAGAAGAACAGGGAAAAAGGAUACGAUUCGCGGAAGCGGGAGCGACGGUGGCCAUGAUCCGCCGAUGGAUAGGAGCGGGAACCCCUGGGAAUUCCGGACGGAGGGGAAAGGAGGGGUUUUGCGGCGGCGGCGGCGGGGAGAAGGGGGGGUCUCGCGCUCGCGGCGGGCUCUCUAGGGUUUCGGUCUUUCGGGAGGAGGCCGAAGGAAAAGAGAAGGCAGUCAACCUCGGGUCUCGAUUCAUAUAGCCCUCGCCUCCACGGCGACGGCGUUUGCGAUCCGAUCUCGGGGCGGCGGGCCCCACGUAACACGUGGGAUCCUGUUCUACGUGGCGACAGCUGAAUGGCUGUGUUUUGGAGCCCCCAGUGUGAAUUGAGCUUUGAUCCGUUGACAUCGGUGAUUCGAUUAUAAUGAGGAAAGUAAAAAAAAAAACCCAAAAUGAGAGUGUGAAGAAAUGAUUAUAUUAAUAAAAUUAUUAUUAUUAUUUCAAAUUUGGGUUCUAGAAUGUUGGUGGGUGAGAUCGGCUUUAUUUUUUGUAGAAUUCGAGAGAUCUAGGGAUUGACUUAAUUUAUAUCCCGUCUAUUUUCACAGUUGUCCAUAGAUUUUGGGACGUAAAAAUUUCAUCUUUAAGUAAAUAAAUUGCCGUGGGUUUUUUCAAGAGGCUUUAGACACAAAAAAAAAAAAAUAUUGAAGAUUGAAACAAGCAAAGAUUUUUUAUCGUGCUAAAAUUAAAAGCUAGCAAGGAGCACGCGUGGUGAAUGUGAAAAAGGGGAAAACAUAAUUGCAUUGAGUAGAAAGGAAAAGUAAAUAAGCAAAGAUUUGAUUUACGGACUUAUCACUUUAAAAACAGUACAACCCCAAUUCUAUUUGUUUUAAAAGAAUUUCAACUUUAUGUCCUAUUCAAAUCUGGCCCCCAAAUUUUGUUUUGUCAAUAAAAGAUACCAAACUUUAGAUUCGGUCCUAAAUUUACUCCGAUUUUUUUUUGUAAAAAUAAAUACCAAAUUUGUGUGUAGUAGCCCUCCAUCCAAAACCUCUCCUCAUCGUCCCUAAAUUCCCUUAUUUUUAUAUCUAAAUACAGUUUGUUUUAAGAUAAUUUUCCACAUCACCUCAUUGAUGUGGAUUUGUUAUUGAUAUGGAAAUAUCACGUCACAUGACUAAUUGUGAUUUUUUUGACCGAGGGUUAAUAUGGGCAAAUUUGAGACUAGAUUGAAAAUCGGUAAUAUUUUUAGAUGAAAAAAAAAUAUGGCUAGAUUUGGGACUGAAUUCAAAGAUUGGGAAUUUUUUUAAACAAAUAAAAAGUUCGGUAUAAAUUUUGAACUAACCUAAGGUUAGGGGUUUCUUUAGCGAUAAGAAAAAAAAAAGAGCCGGGGAUAGGAUCGGGAUUGAACCUAAAAUUGAAGUUUUUUUGCGAAAUUAGGCCUAUGAUUUACUUGGAAACUUAUUUUAUUAUUUUGUUGGUAUUUAUUUGGGAACUUAUAAUUUGAAAAAUAUUUGCUUAACAAAAACAAGGGUUUUCUUUUCCAAGAAAAAAGGGUUAAUGCCACAAAAUAUUUUAAACCAAUACACUUAUGCCAAAUUUAUCUACAAUUAGUCGUGUCAUAAAAAAAUCCUAAACUUAUACAUUUAUAGCAUAUUUACCCCAAACUUUAUAGUCACAAAAAAUUCCAAAUUAACAAUAUUUUACAAUGUUAAAAGAAGGUUUAAUAUCCUAAAAAAUCCAAAACUGAUACACAUGCAAUAAAUUUACUCAAAACUAAUUUUUUGAUCAUAAAAAAUCUAAGCUGAGACACCCAUGGUAAUUUACUUCAACUAAUCAUAAAAAAACCCUAAUAUGAUACACUUGUGACAAAUUUACCAUAAAUUAAUUUAUUUGAUUGCAAAAAACCCCAAACAGGUACAUUUAUAACAAAUAUACCUUCCGUUAAAUUAGAAUAAUAUCACGAAAAAUCAGAAAAAUUAUAUAAUUGUAACAAAUGGAAAAUAAAAUCCCAAACUAGUACAACAAUCAAUCAUUACGUGUCAUUCAAUUCAAUAAUUUGACAGUAAAAUUUAACGAAAAUUGAUAGUGGGUAAAUUUGUCACAACUAUACUAAUUUGGAGUAAAUUUAUCAAAGGUAUAUCAGUUUUGAGUUUUUAACGGUCAAAAAAUUAGUUUAGGGUAUUAAUCAUAGGUGUAUAAAUUUGGGGUUUUUAAAGAUAUUAACCCUUUAAAAAAAGAUUUGAGCUCCAUAUAUGAGAAAUGAGGGAAACAAACAAGAAGAUGCGGUAUUUGCAAACUAUACAAGAGUUUCUUGAAAUCAAAUCAGUCAAAAAGAUUCCAUUUCCUGUAGAAAAAAUGGCUUAUGUUAAUGAGCUCGAAUUUUGGAAUACAAUAAAUAUUUUUUGGUCAAAGAAAUGGAAUACAAAUAUUAGAAUGAAAAUUUAUUAUGACACAAAAUUAGUUUAGAUAAAUGUGUCAAUAUGUACUAAUUCGAGAUAUUUCUUUUUUUGUGACAUAAAAAUUAGUUUGAGCAAAUGUGACACGAGCAUAGCAAUUUGAAAUUUUCUAUGACUCAUAAACUAGUUUGGAUAAAUGUGGCAGCAUGUAACAAUUUGAAAUUUUUUAUAGUAUAAACCUCAAAAAAAUAUUUGAAUUUUGUGUGGACAUUUGAGAGAUUUUGGCAGGAAUCCAUUGACGUGGAUGCCAGUUGUUUAAUAUGGCAUGGUUGGCGCUAAUGUCGACACAAUUUAUUGUUUUUCAAAUUUUUGUUUGAAUAUUUUUAAAAAAAUUCUUGUCUUUUUUCCCCCUCUCUCUCUUCUUCCUCUCUAUAGGUUGCCUAGUCUCCGACGACUGUCCAAAAUCUGCGAUUGGCAAGGGGUAGCCUUGCCAGCCUUUGGGCCUCGGGCAAGGUCGCCCUCACCAGAGGCUAGCGAGCCUCGCCGAGAUCUAAUGAGGAACGACCUUGCUGAGCCUCCCUCUAGGCGAGCAAGGCUGACCCUCGCCCCUUGCUAGUUCUCGGCGAGGGUGACCUCGCUUGAGGCUAGUGAGGUUAACCCUCGCUAGUUGUAGCCUUUGGCUAGCUACUAAAGGCUACGCAACUGACAAAGAGUAAGAAGAGAAAGAUAGGGAAAAAAGAAGAAGAAAAUAACAAAUUAAAAAUUUUAAAAAUUCAAAAAAAAAUUAUAAAUUUUGUCAACAUUAGUGCCGGUUGUACCACGCAAGACAAUUAGCGUUAAUGUCAAUGAAUUCCAAUCAAAAUUGGCUUGAUGGACUCAAUUUGGCAAAAAUGAAAAUAUUUAUGACUCAAUUGAUAAAAUUAAAAAGUUUAAGAUUAAAUUGGCAAAAGUACAAUAGGUUUAUGAUUUUGUGAAUAAUUUCCCCCCCACUUAGAGGUUAUUUGCUAUAGUCUUCUCAUAGCAGCUUUAGUAGUGAAAAUGGCUUCCCUGGUUUUUAAAGAUGUUUCACAAACACUUUGACAACUGCGACACUUUCAAAGUUACUGCAACUUGCAGUAGUUCUUAGGACCUUUUCUCACCUGGCUUGAAGUGCUAUUUAGCUCACAUGUGCUUUUGUAUAGAUGUAGGAUGAUUGCUUAUGUCAGAUGUACAAAUUAUCCAAUCAACUCUUGGUCAAAUGGGUUAGAGAAAGUUAAAAGCGGGUUGGCUGAGUAGUGAAAUGCUCAUGUUCAUGCGUUCUCGAGCAGGACGAGACCUCAGGUUCGAUCCCCGAUUUCCCCACCAGUUCAAUCGCCUUGGUUAGAAGAGCAUAAAUGUAAUUCCUCUCGAGGUAAUAUGUAAUUCCUCGUGAGGUAAUACAGUUAAUUUCGCUUGAAUGUCCUGUCUUUAAUUGAACGAGAGAGAUGGAGUUUAUCCAAACACAAAAGGUGUGGAUAUGGCUUUAGCUGAAAUCUAUCAGCGCCCUUGAUUCUUGCAGAUCUCAACAAGGAUGCACCUUGGAAUGAUUUCUCAGCAAAGCAAGUCCCCUUCAUUUCGAAAGUUGUUUCUAUUUCUAGACUCACUUUCUUUUUAUCGUACUUAUUUCUUUCUAGAAUCUUUAACGGGAGCUAGGAACAGAUCGCUGCAAUGAACAAGGGGGCAAAAAUCAAGAGCCUCGGCAAUGAUCGAACCAAUAACGCUGUCAGCAAAAGACUUCUGCUCUCAGGUCGAGUUGCAGGUCACUGGUCUUGAUCUCUUUCAGGAACAAGAACAAGAACCAAUGUCUUCUUCACCCUAAAUGCUACAGACAUUCUGAACUAGGAAAAGAGAAGGGGGGGGGGGGGGGGUGAAAAGGCGAAAGGAAACAUCGAAAGUAUCUCCGUCAUUAUUCGACUUUGGCCAGGAAUCACUCCUGAUCAACAAGUUACAUUCUUGAUCGAGGCAUGGCGACGUCUUUAUUACAAGUAGAGUGACGUUCGCUUCGAGAUUAGGCUAUAACAGCAGCCUAAUGUUUAUUAAUCUUGAAAAGUGGACUAAGAGAUGAACAAGAAAUGACCCGCUUGAGCCUAGAUGUUAGUGUAGGACAUGGACUCAGCACCAUCACCAGUGUUGUUCACACAGACGGUCAGUGGACUCCUAACCGUGUGGAACCCGUCGGACCACACGAUCUCACCGAAGUCGUACCUCCCCUCAGAUCUCUUCCGCGGGUUCAGCGUCACGUAAUACGUGUUCUCGUCCCUGUAAUGCGAGAAAACCAGCGAUCGGGGCCAAAUCACCACCUCCACUCCGCUAGGACUGAUGACGCGAGGAAAAUAGACCGCGUUCCUGUUCCGGCCCACGUUUCGCACAGUCCUCAUGAUUGUCACUGUGGUCCGGAGAUCCGAGACUGUGAUCGAGGGGUAGUUGAGGUUCGAGUUGCUGGUCUGCACACGUGGGCAGGUGAUGUCGGUCCCCGGCAGGACCACCAUUUUUAUCUGUUCCUGGGUGUAACCGAGGUUGCAGAGGAAGACAACAUAGUCGCUGGCUUUCAUGUCGUAAACUAGCCCCGGGUCGAUGGCUUUUGUCGGGUUUAAAUGGCCAGCGCCAAUGUCGAAUGGGUCGGAGGGUUUCGUGGAUCCGCCCGACAGGAAAUGUUCAGAAUUGGUGUCCCUGGUGGAAGCUGUAAGAGGGGACAAAAAACAACAAAUGAGCAGAGAAAUACAUGAACUCUGUCCUGGCAUUAUGAAGUCCUAAGGUAAGAAAAGUUCCACGAGAGAGAUGCUAGACUAAUCCUGCACUUGAGCCGAUGACAUCUUCGUCGGAAAUUGACUGCUGCAUUAAUUACCGGUUGUCAUCAACGCUGAUCUGAUGGCCGCUGGAGACCAAUCUGGGUGAACUGAUUUGACAAGUGCAGCCGUGCCGGUCACAUGAGGGCACGACAUGGACGUUCCCGACUGGAAAUUCCAAUUCACUGAUCGUGUGUCCGAAGAAGACUGAGAAGGCGGUGUGUUUGGAGGCCAUGCUGCUAGAAUGUUGACUCCUGGAGCGCUUAAAUCUGGCUGUUUUGCCAUAAUCAUACAUAAGAUGAUCAAUACAAUUCCAAUGUAUCUAUGUGCUAGAUAUACGAAUCCUGAGCUCUCUCUAUUGAUUUGAUCCGCCAUAUCGACAUACCUUGAGAAUAUCGGGCGAUAGAGCACUAGGUCCUUUGCAGGAAAAGUAGGCCACUACUGGUGCCGGUGCCUUCCCGACUAUUGAUCUGGUCGGCGUUAUUUGCACCGUUGGGCGCCUUGAACAUCCACAGUGUUCGGCAAAUUAACAACAACGGUACAAGCAUUCAUUAGAAUUAGUCUUUAACUUAAGAAUAUGCAAAAACCAGGCUAAUCUCUCAAUGACCGACAAUGCUGCAAUAUAAGAUUAUCGUUCAUCUCGGCUUUUCCUCCGAAAAAGUUGGUACUUCAGGACAGAAACUAAUGCAAAUAUAACUAAUAAUUUGAAGUGAUCACUCAAGAGCUUGUCAGUUUAAUCUCAAUAUUGACUAAUGGAAUGGAAGAGGAGGUGUAAUAAUAAGGUGCGUGAUCAUACCAUUCGGACGAACCGAGGUAGUGUAGGAUCUUGGUGCCUUGGUAAAUGUCGACGUAAACUGUCGGGACCACGUCGACAUAAGGGACUUGCCUAGCUAGAGGCUCAACGAAGAUCAAACCCGAUCCCCCAGCCUUCUUGACCGCAUCUGCUGCCUCGGCGCUGGUUAUCAAUCCCAUUGUCGAAAAGCAUAGGAUGACUCUCCCGGCAGCCUUUCUGUUGUUCCAUCUUCCCCGGGAACAAGUCCUGGAAAUUUCAAAAAGAGAAAGAGAGAAGAAAAGAACAGCACUGGUUGUGAAUUUGAGCUAGUUUGAUUCGAAGGCUUUCGGUGAACAAAUUCAUUUAUGAAACAUGAACGCAAUGCUUCACCCGUUGUAAAAAUGCGAGCUGGCAUCUGCCAGGUUUGCGUCUAUUUGGGUGGUGAUCAAGCUUUGUCCCUGUAAUUACCAAGAUCUCAUGUAACCAUUUCGAUAAAGGUUGCUUAAAAUAAAGAUUAGCAAAUGCCAUACUACCAUCACAGUCAAGAUGGUGACCGUGUUGUCGAAGACCAUCUGCGUUGGGAACGAGCGGUCGAUUGUCGAUGCCGCAACAGAUAUCGACCACGGGGCCACGUUCUUGACCGUCGAUGGGUCCGGUGAGUAGUCGUAGUUCCCUGCCGAGAACACCACCGUCACGCCCUUCUGCAUGGCAUGGAAGCUCCCGAUGUCCGCGCUCCAAAUGAAGAACGGGAGCAACUGCGCGAUCGACGUGCCGAACGACGCAGAUAUUAUGUGGACGCCGUCCCUUAGGGCACCAUCGAAGGCCGCCAGUACGUCGGCCUCGCUGCACUUGCCGGUGCCAUCACCGGUCUUAUUCCAGCAGACCUUGUACACUGCGAGCCGGGCCCUCGGGGCCCCGCCCCGCGCCGUGCCCAAACCGAGCCCGAAGAAGCUGGCGUUGUGGACUAUGGAGCCGACGGCAGUGGAGGCCGUGUGAGUGCCGUGGCCAAGCCGGUCCCGGGGCGAGCGGUACUCGGUGUCGGGGGUAAUGUCGAGCGGGCCGAGCUGCUGCUCCAGACCGGUUAAGUAGUACCGAGCUCCGAUGAGCUUGCGGUUGCAUGCGGUGGACGGGGUGAAGUUCUGGCCCGAGAUGCACUCUCCCUUCCAGGUCCCCGGGAUCGGGCCCAUUCCGGGCUCUUCCUGGAAGCUCGCGGAUUCGGGCCAUAUCCCUUCGCGUGAAUCACAUCAUCCAUGAGUUUAUUAGCUAACAUUGGCCCAAAAAUGGAGCGACUGCAACAAUCCAUCUUCUAGUUUUGGCGCUUUAUAUGGCGCUCACGAUAUGUUUUAGCAUGACUAAAAUAGGUCAUUCGGGUUCAAACUUCCCUCAAAGAUGGAUCAUAUCAAUGUUCUUUAAGAUUUUAGAGAAAAAUCAAUUUUUUUCUUAAAAGUAAAAAUAAAUAAGUCUUUUUUUUUAUAUAUGUUUUCGUAUUCAAACUUUAAGAGAUCAAAGAGAACUCUUUCAUGGCACAAAGGAUCCCGUGGAUUUCGCAUACUGAGAUUGAUUCAUAUUAGAUUGAUUUAUUAAAUGAUGCGUCGGAUUCAUAUUGACUAUUAACUACGGUCAUUUGUUUAAAAUGCUAGUUUAAUAGUUUAACCAAUCAACUUUGCUCAAAGCAUUCGAGCAAUCAUAACUCAGAUAAAAUUCAGUAGAACCCCUCCAACAGCACGCGAAACAUAUUGGUUUUUUAACCCUAACUUUUGCUUUUGAAAGUUGGUCAGACACUUCAGUUGGUGAUCUUUUCAAAGGAAAACAGGCCAUAGCUCGGAAAAAAAGAAUGCUAGGGCUGGUAUGAAAUUUUACUCUAUAGAGAGAGAGAGAGAGAGACCUGAGUCAAAGAUCCCCACAAUGACGUCAUCGCCAAAGGUUGAUGAGGAUGGACUCUGAGGGGCUUCGUCAUAAUCAGGGGUCUCGCGC
rnacentral:lncRNA from 1 species